GAUGAACGCUAGCGGCAGGCCUAACACAUGCAAGUCGAGGGGCAUCAUGGCGUAGCAAUACGCUGAUGGCGACCGGCGCACGGGUGCGUAACGCGUAUGGAACCUACCCACCGCAGGGGGAUAACCCGCCGAAAGGCGGACUAAUACCCCAUGGUUCCCCGACCCUGCCUGGGGUUGGGGGUAAAGCCUACGGGCGGCGGUGGAUGGCCCUGCGUGCCAUUAGCUGGCUGGUGGGGUAACGGCCCACCAGGGCGACGAUGGCUAGGGGGUCUGAGAGGACGAUCCCCCACACUGGUACUGAGACACGGACCAGACUCUACGGGAGGCAGCAGUGAGGAAUAUUGGUCAAUGGGCGGAAGCCUGAACCAGCCAUGCCGCGUGCAGGAUGACGGCCCUACGGGUUGUAAACUGCUUUUCCCGGGGCGAAUAACCCCUCGCGAGGGGAGUGCCGGUACCGGGGAUAACGGAUCGGCUAACGUCCGUGCCAGCAGCCGCGGUAAACUCGUCUCGUA
rnacentral:rRNA from 1 species